GACCCUGAUGAUGGCAGUUUUAUGAUUGGUUGUGAUGGCUGUGAUGAAUGGUUUCACGGAACCUGCGUUGGCAUAAUAGAUGACCCUGGUGAAGUCGAUUGGUUCUGUUCUUCGUGUCACGCUAAGAGAGACAAAGACAGCAAAGACAAGCAAAAGAAGAAGAAAAAGAAGAAGAGUAAGGAGAAGACAAAAUAACGCGUAUAGGUUCAAAAAAUUUCAAAAUGUUAUGAUUUCAUGUGUCAAUCUUGAGAACUUUUGUAAAUAUUACUCUGGAUUGGAUUCAAACCGUUUGACAGGGUGGUGUUCCUUGAGAAUUCUCCUAUAGCAAAUCUGUACAAGGCGAUGUAGAGUUGUAAAUAAACAGUUUAUAGCAAACGA